rnacentral:rRNA from 1 species
GGUAAGGUAUUGGCUUACCGUGGCAGUGACGGUUAACGGGGAAUUAGGGUUCAAUUCCGGAGAGGGAGCCUGAGAAACGGCUACCACAUCUAAGGAAGGCAGCAGGCGCGCAAAUUACCCAAUUCUAACAGCAUAAGAGAGGUAGUGACAAGAAAUAACAGUACAAGGCAGUUAAAAUGCUUUGUAAUUGGAAUGAUAGAAAUUUAAAUACUUUUUAAAGUAUCAAUUGGAGGGCAAGUCUGGUGCCAGCAGCCGCGGUAAUUCCAGCUCCAAUAGCGUAUAUUAAAAUUGUUGCAGUUAAAAAGCUCGUAGUUGAAUUUUUGCUAAAAAUAACCGGUCUGCUUUUAUUAAUAAAAGUGGUAUCUUGGUGUGUUUUUAGCAAUAAUGUCCUUUGAAAUGUUUUUUACUUUAUUGUAAAAAGCAAUUUUCAGGAUUUUUACUUUGAGAAAAUUAGAGUGUUUCAAGCAGGCUAACGUUUUGAAUACUGCAGCAUGGAAUAAUAAAAUAGGAUUUUAGUUCUACGUUAUUGGUUUUAAGAACUAAAUUAAUGAUUGAUAGGAGCAGUUGGGGGCAUUUGUAUUUAACUGUCAGAGGUG